rnacentral:rRNA from 1 species
AACGAACGCUGGCGGCAGGCUUAACACAUGCAAGUCGAGCGCCCCGCAAGGGGAGCGGCAGACGGGUGAGUAACGCGUGGGAAUCUACCCAUCUCUACGGAAUAACGCAUGGAAACGUGUGCUAAUACCGUAUACGUCCUUCGGGAGAAAGAUUUAUCGGAGAUGGGUGAGCCCGCGUUGGAUUAGCGAGGUGGUGGGGUAAAGGCCUACCAAGGCGACGAUCCAUAGCUGGUCUGAGAGGAUGAUCAGCCACACUGGGACUGAGACACGGCCCUGACUCCUACGGGAGGCAGGAGUGGGGAAUAUUGGACAAUGGGCGCAAGCCUGAUCCAGCCAUGCCGCGUGAGUGAUGAAGGCCCUAGGGUUGUAAAGCUCUUUCACCGGUGAAGAUAAUGACGGUAACCGGAGAAGAAGCUCCGGCUAACUUCGUGCCAGCCGCCGCCGUAACAC